UCAUUGGAUAUACCGGCUGGAGCACUCUGGCUUACGGAAGAAGGUAUCGAAGAUAAAAUGGAAUACGAAAGAGCUUACAAUCCACAUACCCUCCAAGAAGGUUGGAAAAUUUUAGAAGAAAAAAGACAAAAUGAAGAAGAAACUAUUCGACUAAGGGAUAAAGAAAUAGGAGAAAAUCUCAAGAAACGUUUCGUCUGGGAGAAAGAGUUGCAAGAUAAAAUAGCCAAGAAAGCAGAAGCAUUACGUGUUGCUCGAGAAAAGAAAUCUCGAUUAAUUGAUGAAGUUUGUCGAAAGUUAGGUUUUGCGGUGAAUCCGCGAGACCCUAAGUUCCAAGAAGCCCUUGAAAAAAUUAACAUUGAUUUAAGAAUCAUUAUGAUAAUGUAGAUGAUAACAAUAUGUAUGAAAAUCAAAUUGUUCUAGUUUUUUUGAUGAAAUCGACGAAAAAAACAAGAAAUCCGAGGUUUUUAUUGAAGAAAAAAAAUGUAAAGAACGAAAAAUAACAUUGAUCGAAUCUGAAACAACUUUUAUAUUUAAACUAUUACAACUAACAAAAAACUUGGAUACUUCUACUAGUGGAAUGGUGUCAACGGGUAGCAAUGAAUACGAAAAUGUUAGAGAUAAAUUAGAUUCAAUUAGAACAGUAGUCGAUAGUGCAACACAAACAUUGACAAUUCUCAUGAAGCCUAAGUUUACAUAUUUGACAACAUCGAAAAUGAUUAAUUGUGCAAAUUCGACUAACAAUUGGAUAAUGUAUGAUACAUACUGUACUAAAUUUGUGAAUGAAUCGAGCCAGUUACUUGAUAACAAAAUAUCAAAUGAAAUAUUUGAUUCGUCAGAAGUAGAAGCUGUAAGUAUUAACUAAGAAAGUCGUUUGAAAUUUAUGAAACUGAGUAGUGACUUAAGAAUGAAAGCAGAUAAAAUGACUUGUUUGUACGAAAAUGUAAGAUUUGCUGGUGCAGUGAGAGAGAUGGAACAAAUAAUAUGUUUGAAUUUGAAUGCUCAGAAAUGUUUCAGAGGCCUGACAAAAUCUAAUAAAUACGAUUUAGAGUCAAAUAUUAAUUACCGUUUACAAUAUCUGUGGAGUUUUAUUUAUAUUGAUUUAAAAAAAAGAAGAAUAAAUAGUGUUUGUUGGAAUGGAAAAAAUUCCAAUCUUCUGGCAGUCAGUUAUGAAGGAGAAUUGAACGAAUGUAGUAGAAAUAUUUUAAUUUGGAACAUGAAACAUCAUUCUCAACCUGAACGAUUAUAUAGACUGAAUUUUGCAAUCUCAGAUAUUAAUUGGAGUACUAAGAAA